GCCACCGAUGUCUCCCUCUAUCAUGAUCAUCUACCGGGACCUCAUCAGCCAUGAUGAAAUGUUCUCUGACAUCCACAAGAUCCGGGAGGUCGCGGACGGGCUGUGUCUGGAGGUGGAGGGGAAUAUGGUCAGUAGGACAGAGGGUAACAUUGAUGACUGCCUCCGCUGAAGGCCCCGAGGGCGAAGGUACCGACUGCACAGUAAUCACUGGUGUGGUUAUUGUCAUGAACCAUCACUUGCAGGAAACCAGCUUCACAAAAGAAGCCUACAAGAAGUACAUCAAAGAUUACAUGAAGUUAAUCAAAGGGAAGCUUGAAGAACAGAGACCAGAAAGAGUAAAACCUUUUAUGACAGGGCCUGCAGAACAAAUCAAGCACAUCCUUGCUCAUUUCAAAAACGAUCAGUUCUUUAUUGGUGAAAACAUGAAUCCAGAUAGCAUGGCUGCUCUGCGGGACUACCGUGAGGAUGGUGUGACCCCAUAUAUGAUUUUGUUUUAAGGAUGGUCUAGAAAUGGAAAAAUGUCAACAAAUUUGGCUGUUUGGCUCUAUCUUCUCGCCAUAACUGGCUGGCUGCCGCUUUUCAUCCGCACAACACCAGGACUUAGACAAAUGGGACUGAUGUCAUCUUGAGCUCUUCGUUUUGAUGUUGAUUUGUUUGGAGCGGAGGCAUUCUAUUUGAGAAAAAAAAAUGUCAUGUAGGUUGUCUAAAAAUAAAAUGCGUUUAAACUC